CACCUGGUAGCACAUGGUGUGCACCUGCCUUUCCUCACUGGAUGAAGAAAUAUGUAGGCAGGAGGUCCCCGUUCAACUCGGGGUCGGGUGA